rnacentral:rRNA from 1 species
GAUGAACGCUAGCGGCGGGCUUAAUACAUGCAAGUCGAGGGGCAGCACGGGUAGCAAUACCUGGUGGCGACCGGCAAACGGGUGCGGAACACGUACGCAACCUUCCCAUAACUGGUGGAUAGCCCUCCGAACGGAGGACUAAUACACCGCAACAUAACGAUGAGGCAUCUUUUUUCUCUAAUAGUAACCAUACGGUUUUGGAUGGGCGUGCGCCUGAUUAGGUAGUUGGAGGGGUAACGGCCCGCCAAGCCUGCGAUCAGUAACUGGUGUGAGAGCACGACCAGGCACACGGGCACUGAGACACGGGCCCGACUCCUACGGGAGGCAGCAGUAAGGAAUAUUGGUCAAUGGACGAAAGUCUGAACCAGCCAUGCCGCGUGAAGGAUUAAGGCCCUCUGGGUUGUAAACUUCUUUUAUCUGGGACGAGAAAAGGGUAUUCUUACUCACUUGACGGUACCAGAGGAAUAAGCACCGGCUAACUCCGUGCCAGCCGCCGCGGUAA